UACGUAGGGUGCGGGCGUUAAUCGGAAUUACUGGGCGUAAAGCGUGCGCAGGCGGUUUUGUAAGUCUGCUGUGAAAGCCCCGGGCUUAACCUGGGAAUGGCAUUUGGGACUGCAAGGCUUGAGUGCGGCAGAGGAUACUGGAAUUCCUGGUGUAGCAGUGAAAUGCGUAGAUAUCAGGAGGAAUACCGAUGGCGAAGGCAGGUCUCUGGGCUGACACUGACGCUCAUGCACGAAAGCGUGGGGAGCAAACAGG
rnacentral:rRNA from 1 species